rnacentral:tRNA from 1 species
AGUUGAUUUGACAGCUAAGUUCAUCAGACUUUUAAUCUUUUGGUCGAAGGUUCGAAUCCUUCACGACCCACCA